UUCCUACGGGGGGCAGCAGUGAGGAAUAUUGGUCAAUGGGCGGGAGCCUGAACCAGCCAAGCCGCGUGAGGGAAGAAGGUACAGCGUAUCGUAAACCUCUUUUGUCAGGGAACAAAGGCGGGGACUAGUCCCCGGAUGAGGGUACCUGAAGAAAAAGCAUCGGCUAACUCCGUGCCGGCAGCCGCGGUAAUACGUAGGGGGCGAGCGUUGUCCGGAAUCACUGGGCGUAAAGGGCGCGUAGGCGGUUUAAUAAGUCAGUGGUGAAAACUGAGGGCUCAACCCUCAGCCUGCCACUGAUACUGUUU
rnacentral:rRNA from 1 species